UCAGUUUUAGUGUGUUCCAUUUUUAUCUCAAAGAGGAACUCUUGUUAAAUUGUAGGGUCAAAUAACCGGAAAACUGUGACUGCAAUUUGAAACACAAAAGGAGAAGCUGGAAGUCUGAAAAGAGAAAGAAAAAGACAGAGAGGUCUUAAAUUGAGGGAAAAAAAAUGCUAAAAAUUCACAGACAUCAUUCAAACAUCAUGCUUCAAAUAAAAUUGGUACAUUAACUUGGAAGAGGAGAGAAAAGGACAGUGGAGGAAGGAAGCUGAGCAGAGAGAUGAAGCUAAGCAACAUCUGAAAGGUAGCUGACCAGUGCAAUGGAUGUUUUAGACUCAACAAAUACCCUGUUAAGCUAGAUUCCUAACAUAGCCAUGGAUUUUCAUUUCUGUUCUGAAAGAAUUUGGAUCUGAUGUAACCCAGGUGUUAUUCAUGAAGAAUAUAUUCAUAAAAGUAUUAGUCCUGCCAGAAACAUUCCAGCCCAUCAAAAGAGAAUAGAAAAACUUGCUGAACUCUGGAAGACAGUGGUUAUAUGGAGAAGAAAAGGUAAGAGUAAUUUCUAUGCAUUUCUUAAGGUAUAUCUAUUUGAAGCCUGGCAUAAUUUUUUUAAUGAUAGAGGUUUUUAGGUACAUAGUCUAGAUGCAUAGGUUUUUUUUACAGAUCAUAUCAAUGAUAUAGGGAAG
rnacentral:lncRNA from 1 species